CGUUGAAGACUACGACGUUGAUAGGUUGGAUGUGGAAGUGCGGUGACGCAUGAAGCUGACCAAUACUAAUUGCUCGUGAGGCUUGACUAUACAACACCCAAACAGUUG
rnacentral:rRNA from 1 species